GUCUUCUUGCUAUAUUUAGGAAGUCUGGCCUGCCCAGUGAAAAUAAUUUAACGGCCGCGGUAUACUGACCGUGCAAAGGUAGCAUAAUCAUUAGUCUUUUAAUAGAGGGCUGGUAUGAAGGGUUUAACGAGGUGUUGACUGUCUCAUUUAAUUUGAAUUUAGAAUUUAAUUUUUUAGUUAAAAAGCUAAAAUAUUAUUGGAAGACGAGAAGACCCUAUAGAGCUUUAUAUUUUUAUUAUUAAUUUAUUUUAGUUUAUUAUUAUUUAUUAUUAAUAGAAAGUAUUUUGUUGGGGUGACAAAAAUAUAUAAAUAACUUUUUCAUUUAUUUUACAUUGAUAUAUGAAUAUUAGAUCCAAUCUUAUUGAUUGCUAGAUUAAGUUACCUUAGGGAUAACAGCGUAAUCCCUCUCCAGAGUUCAUAUUUACAGAGGGGCUUGCGACCUCGAUGUUGGAUUAAGAUAAUAAUUAGGUGCAGCCGCUUAAUUAAUAGGUCUGUUCGACCUUUAAAUUCUU
rnacentral:rRNA from 1 species